rnacentral:rRNA from 1 species
AGAAUCAACGCUGGCGGCGUGCCUAACACAUGCAAGUCGAACGAGAAAGUGGAGCAAUCCAUGAGUAAAGUGGCGACCGGGUGAGUAACACGUGACUAACCUACCUUCGAGUGGGGGAUAACCUCGGGAAACCGGGGCUAAUACCGCAUAAUAUCCACGGAUCAAAGGAGCAAUUCGCUUGAAGAGGGGGUCGCGGCUGAUUAGUUAGUUGGCGGGUAAUGGCCCACCAAGACAAUGAU